AAUUGAGCUAUAAUAUGAGGGAGGAGGGACUCAGUGUUCAUAUCUGACAGAGACUGUGGAUGAAUUGAUUCAGUCUGACUCUUCUCAGAGUGAACACUUGAACAAUGGAUCUUCAUUCAGUUAUCCUGCUCUGUGUCUCAGCUGCUGCUGUCUUUGGAAAUGUCAUCAAACCAGAACAGCUAGAUGUUUUUGCUGAAGAGGGUUCAAGUGUUACGUUAUCCUGUACUUUUUCUGACUCUGGAGUUACAAACUAUCUCCACUGGUACCGUCAGUAUGGAAGAUCAAAACCUGAAUUUCUUGUACUCACCAACAACAAAGCAAAAAUAGCUGAUGUGUCUAAGAUAGAUUCAAGAUUCUCUGUUAAUAUUCCGCAAAGUGAUCGUGUGGAUCUGAAGAUCUCCUCUGCUGCUGUAUCAGACUCUGCUCUGUACUACUGUGCUCUGCAGCCCACAGUGACAGGAAACACAUCAGCUCUCUACAAAAACCUGUUACACUGA